UUUCUUCUUCAGAGAUCCAAACCAUUUUGUUUUACUUCUUCUUCAGAGAUCUGGUACGUCAAGCAUCACUAUUCAUAUUGUUGUUGUUGUGUUGUUGAGAUAUGAAACCCUAGACAUUUUCUCUUGUUGUUUUUGUUAUUUAAAUAGAUUUAUGGUAUAGGUCUAUUGAUGUUGUUGUUGUUAAUGUUUUUGUUCUUAUUGUUGAGACCCUAAAUCCUAUAUGCUUAAUCUUGUUGUUAUUGUUGUUGUUGCUAAUUAAAC
rnacentral:lncRNA from 1 species